GGUAAAGUAUUGCAUUUAAAUUAGUCUAAACUGGGACUGUGCAUGUCAGUUUUAAGAAAGACUCAUCAGUUAAUUCACUGGGGAGCGCCAAAGGGAUUAAGUACUUAAAAAGGUGCUGGCUCUCAUAAGGAACAAGGUGUGCCCUUGUUUUUAAUUAGCAGCUGAUGUGUGAUUGCUGGUGACCUGUCAGCACAUCAGUGAAUUCUCUGCUCUGCUGAGCAGGCAGCAGUGUGCAUCAGGCAGGCAGCAGGAACUGCUUCUCCUGUUUCCCUCUUUCUCUGAUUAUGGCUAAUGCUCCUCUUGGGCAGGAACUUUGUGCCUCAUCCCUUGAGCAUCACUGGUUCUCACUGGGAUUUAAUGAAGGUAGACUGAUUGAUUUGCAGUUAACCAUAACAAGCUCAGCUGAAAGAGCAGCAGUGCCAAGCGUUUGGAUUUCCUUGCAGUACUACAAGUCUCCCCAGUGUCCCGAGUUUAUUCCAGCUGUAAUGCCAGUCAGUAUGCUUUCAGCUGUGGCCUGCCCUGCAGAAUGCCUUGUGGCUGCAGUGCCACGAUGGCUUUCUGAGUAAAACCAGUCCUGAACUUGGAGCCUCACAGCAAGCAGCGUUUCAGAGAAAGCAGACUUGGCUGCAGUGGCUUUUGAGGCAAUCCCACUUGUUGUACAGCUACUGCAGAGAAAUCUGUGCGAGAGUUUUACUCUCUUCACAAAGCAUCCACAGCCAUUUCCUUCCUUAUGUUUUCCUCAGCACGGUGCAAGUUCUACAGCCUGCUCUGAGGGCAGCUUAAACUGGGAUUUCAUCUUCUGAUUGUUGCAGAUAAAAGCACACUCUCACUUCAUCUUGAAGUGGGAUUGCAGUUGGUGUUCCCUGCCAGCAUAGCUGUGCUCGUGCCAGCCAGUCAAAGAUGCAGAACAAGACAAGGCUCCCAAACUGUGUGUGCUCAGUGAGCAGCAAGGCUCAUCCUGAUCAUCUUUUCUGCUCAGCAAAAGAUUUCAGUUUGUUCAGGGCUGGCUGCUAAGGGCUGGUUUGAGGGUUGUUGACCCUCAUCUGUAGGAAGGCCUUGGAUUCUGUCACUACACUUAAAACAAGAGAUCCCUUGCUAUCUGCUGAAGGAAGAAAUUGCUACAGCUUGCACUAAUGAACCAUGUAACAAUGGAAAUGAGAGAACCUUUUGUAUGUGGAGGGCUAGAUAACUACUGUACUGCUCUCAGAGAAGCUAUGUUUCUGCCUAUCAAAUACACAAAAGGGGAGCUAUUCCACCUGCAGCUGUGCAACUCAACAAGAGAGCUGAAGAUUUCCAAAACUCAACAAGAGAGCUGAAGACUUCCAAAAUUCCUGAAAAGAGCCAAGUGCCAAAUUUUCAUAGGAAAGCCACUGCUUCUGUUAGUGAACUUGGCACUACAAAAGCUAUUGUUGAGCACUCUGGCCAUUCCAGUAGUGUGCAGGAUGUCAGGGGCUGAAGAUCACAUUAAGCUGCAUUUAAUCCAGAAGUUGCUUUAUUUUAAGUCUGUGUUCUAUUCCCCUUUGGUGGGAAAUUUCGGUAACCCAUAAACAUCCUAAGAAAGUCCCUCUCUAAUUUGGAAGAAAUAGAUGAGUCAGUGUGAAACUGAUAUUAAUCAAAUCAAUGGAUGUUUUCCUGUAAAAGCAGAAAAGGAGUUGUUAGGAUUGGGCAUUGUUUUGACUUUGCCUAGAAUAAGAGCUAUUUUAGUUUCCUCUGCUUCUUUGCAUUCUGAAGGAUGGAUGCUCCCCCUCUGGGCACCCUGGCUGAUCACAGAGACCUGCUCUGUGGCUGUGUCAGUGCAGGGCUAAAGGAAGAGGUGUGUGUUUCAGUGAGAUAACAGCACUGCAGGCUGACAUCAGGAAGCCUUCCUCCCAUAAAGGGGUGACUUGACAGAACUGUGUAUACAAACCUUGACAUAAGUCAGCAUGAUUAAGGAUCUACUUAUUCUGCAGAUUUUUGCCUUUUCUGUCAGGAUUCAGAUGUUUUUUUCAUUAGGUUCCUUAUUUUUUUUUUCCCCAAACAUUUUAACUGUAAGAAAAAUUGCAAUAGAUGAGAGAUUGAGCAUCUGGUUGUGGAUAAAGGAGGACAGAGCACUGAAAUACCUGCUGUGAUGGAGAUACAGUGCACAAAGGACAGGAGCUACCUGACAAUGAUUUCACUUUAGGAAAGAGGAGAAGUUCUAUGACUUUGUCAUAGAGAGGGAAGCCAGGUUUAGCUCCUCUGCUUAUCCCCACCUCAUCACCACUUCCAUUUCUCCUUCACUGCAUGAGCCAUCCAUUUGGGGAUCAGCUCUAUCAAUGUGGUUACUGAGGGGUGAAGUCAAAAAUAGCCUCUGCUUUUUUUUCUUUCUUUUCAUGAGCUUAUUUUUAACCUGGAACACUUAAGUGAUCUAGUUUUCAGUAUUACUUGAGAGGUCAGGCCAGCUGAGGAUACAGGGAACUCUGGGCUUUGCUGCCCAAGCUAGCAUGUGGUGGAACUGCACCUUUUAGAUGCUUUGUUAUUUUUUUUUUUUUAAAGAAAUGUGAAUAUUGUGUGCAUGGAAUCUGAGUUGUCAGUGCAAUUCUUUGUGGGGCUGCAGGCACAGGGAUUGGAUUAGAGCCUGCAUGGGAAUUGUGGGUAUUAUAUACUGUAUAUUUAUGAAAUCUAUAACUUGUUUUUGCUGUUCUUACUCUUCAGCUUCCGUGCCUAAAACAGAUGCUAAUGGACUAUGGAUAUACCUGUGCUUCCAUUCCCUUUUUACUUCUGCUGUUCCUGCCCUGAGAGGCCAACAUCCCAUCUGCACCUUCAAACAGCCAAGAUGUCAAACAUCAGCACUGCCUUCUGGAGAACACACAGAAGAGGAAAAUCCCAUUUUUCCUCUUGGUAACUCUCUACUCUGCUCAGAGGACAAACCCUUGAGGCCGCAACCUAACAGGAGGCAGAACCAGCAGUCUUGCCGUUAUUUCAGCAUGGAGCAGGAAAACACUUCCCAAACCCACAUAAAUCUUCUGACUUCAGCAGUAAGAGGGCAGUCUGUGUGCUGCCCGUGCCAUGGCUGCAGCCUUGGAGCUUCCCUCUCUGCCUGCCAGGUGAGCAGGGGCGGCUGCAGUGGGCUGGGUUGGUGCACACAGGGAUACUUCAUGGCUUCCCCAGGUAGGGCACCAGAAACAAAACACUACUGUGUUGUACCAGCACUUGUUUCUGUUGGGUUUCUGGUUUCUGUCUGGGAGCAGCAGAGAAGCUAAUCUGGGCUACUUAGGGUCUAUUCCAGAAAGAAUCGAACUCAAGGUAAAUUACUAAGCACAUCCAGAUGUGAUUAAUGAUCUGUGUUUCAGUACUUUUUCCUGGAGAGGCAUUGAGGCCAGGUGGGUCACCAGCUCAAGGCUUCCACCAUCAGUCCUCCCACUGAUAUUCUUCUGCAGUGGCUCAGCCUGGAAAAAAAUAGAAGCAAGAUUUCCCCUACAGCCAUCGCGUUUUUAACCAUUCUCAUAAA